CAGACUUCCUAGGUAACUCUGAAACAGGUGGUCUGUAGACCACACUUUAAGAAUUAUCUUCAAGGAUUGGGCUAGUUUUAGUUUGUAGUGAUUUCUUGUGUAUCUUAAUGAAGGCCUAGACAAUAUAGUCUGGAUUGAUUGAUUGGAUAAACACAGAGGAACAAGAGAGUGGCAGAAUUGUACCAUGCAUGUAGCAGGCCAUGCUCUACAAGGGCCUCUGAGGAUGCAGCAGAAAGGUACCCCGG
rnacentral:lncRNA from 1 species